CGGGGGGCUGCACCAGUGGGGAAUAUUGCACAAUGGGGGAAACCCUGAUGCAGCGACGCCGCGUGGAGGAUGACACAUUUCGGUGCGUAAACUCCUUUUAUAGGUCAAGAUAAUGACGGUAGCCUAUGAAUAAGCGCCGGCUAACUCCGUGCCAGCAGCCGCGGUAAUACGGAGGGCGCAAGCGUUACUCGGAAUCACUGGGCGUAAAGAGCAUGUAGGCGGGUUAAUAAGUCAGAAGUGAAAUCCAAUAGCUCAACUAUUGAACUGCUUUUGAAACUGUUAACCUAGAGUGUGGGAGAGGUAGAUGGAAUUUCUGGUGUAGGGGUAAAAUCCGUAGAGAUCAGAAGGAAUACCGAUUGCGAAGGCGAUCUACUGGAACAUUACUGACGCUGAGAUGCGAAAGCGUGGGGAGCAAACAGGAUUAGAUACCCUUGUAGUC
rnacentral:rRNA from 1 species